CCUACGGGUGGCAGCAGUGAGGAAUAUUGGUCAAUGGGCGUAAUCCUGAACCAGCCAAGUCGCGUGAGGGAUGAAGGUUCUAUGAGUCGUAAACCUCUUUUAUAAGGGAGUAAAGUGUGGGACGCGUCCUAGUCUGUAUGUACCUUAUGAAUAAGGACCGGCUAACUCCGUGCCAGCAGCCGCGGUAAUACGGAGGAUCCGAGCGUUAUACGGAUUCAUUGGGUUUAAAGGGCGCGUAGGUGGAUUGUUAAGUCAGUUGUGAAAGUUUGCGGCUCAACCAUAAAAUUGCAUUUGAAACUGGCAGUCUUGAGUAUAGUAGAGGUAGGCGGAAUUCGUGGUGUAGCGGUGAAAUGCGUAGAUAUCACGAAGAACUCUGAUUGCGAAGGCGGUUCACUAGAAUACAACUGACACUGAGGCUCGAAAGUGUGGGUAUCAAACAGGAUUAGAUACCCUAGUAGUC
rnacentral:rRNA from 1 species